rnacentral:rRNA from 1 species
UACAGAGGGUGCAAGCGUUGUUCGGAAUUAUUGGGCGUAAAGCGCGUGUAGGCGGCUUGGCAAGUCGGGUGUGAAAGCCCUCAGCUCAACUGAGGAAGUGCGCCCGAAACUGCUUUGCUUGAGUGUCGGAGAGGAUGGUGGAAUUCCCCAAGUAGAGGUGAAAUUCGUAGAUAUGGGGAGGAACACCGGUGGCGAAGGCGACCAUCUGGACGAUAACUGACGCUGAGACGCGAAAGCGUGGGGAGCAAACAGG